GAUAAACGCUGGCGGCGCACAUAAGACAUGCAAGUUGAACGGACUUAAUCGAAAUAUUUAUAUUUUGAAGCGGUUAGUGGCGGACUGGUGAGUAACGCGUAAGGAACCUGCCUAUUAGAGGGGAAUAACAGUGAGAAAUCAUUGCUAUACCGCAUAUGCCAUAGAUAUCACUUGAUAACAGUGGGAAAGGAGCAAUCCGCUAAUAGAUGGCCUUGCGUCUGAUUAGAUAGUUGGUGGGGUAACGGCCUACCAAGUCGACGAUCAGUAGCCGGACUGAGAGGUUGAACGGCCACAUUGGGACUGAGCUACGGCCCAGACUCCUACGGGAGGCAGCAGUCGGGAAUAUUGCGCAAUGGAGGAAACUCUGACGCAGUGACGCCGCGUAUAGGAAGAAGGUUUUCGGAUUGUAAACUAUUGUCGUUAGGGAAGAGAAAGGACAGUACCUAAGGAGGAAGCUCCGGCUAACUACGUG
rnacentral:rRNA from 1 species